rnacentral:rRNA from 1 species
UUCGACCUGCGGGGCGCAGCAGUGAGGAAUAUUGGUCAAUGGGCGGAAGCCUGAACCAGCCAAGUCGCGUGAGGGAAUAAGGCCCUACGGGUCGUAAACCUCUUUUGCCGGGGAGCAAGGGCCGGGACGCGUCCCGGCCCGGAGAGUACCCGGAGAAAAAGCAUCGGCUAACUCCGUGCCAGCAGCCGCGGUAAUACGGAGGAUGCGAGCGUUAUCCGGAUUUAUUGGGUUUAAAGGGUGCGUAGGCGGGCUUUUAAGUCAGCGGUAAACAUUCGGGGCUCAACCCCGUCCAGCCGUUGAAACUG